GCGUUGUUCGGAAUUACUGGGCGUAAAGAGUGUGUAGGCGGUGUUCCAAGUCUGUUGUGAAAUCUCCCGGCUUAACUGGGAGGGUGCGGCGGAAACUGGGAUGCUAGAGGAUGGGAGAGGUAAGCGGAAUUCCUGGUGUAGCGGUGAAAUGCGUAGAUAUCAGGAGGAACACCUGUGGUGUAGACAGCUUACUGGACCAUUUCUGACGCUGAGACACGAAAGCGUG
rnacentral:rRNA from 1 species